AACCUAGCACACCUGCGGUGUGUACCUGCGGAAGGAUCAUUACCGAGUUUACAAACUCCCAACCCUUUGUGAACCUUACCAUAUUGUUGCUUCGGCGGGACCGCCCCGGCGCCUUCGGGCCCGGAACCAGGCGCCCGCCGGAGGCCCCAAACUCUUAUGUCUUUAGUGGUUUUCUCCUCUGAGUGACACAUAAACAAAUAAAUAAAAACUUUUAGCAACGGAUCUCAGAUCGGAAGAGCA
rnacentral:misc_RNA from 1 species